ensembl:lncRNA
AUAUUACUAUUUGCCAAACAUUAUGCUAAAUGCUCUACAUACUCAUUUCAAUCCUCUCAACAACUUUAUAUAGUAACAACGAUCAUCCCUCCAAUUUUAAAAUAAGGGAAGUAACAGAGAAGUUAGGUAAUUUGCUCAAGGCAAGACAGGCUGUAAAGAGGGAUUCAGAUGAAGGCAAUCUAAGCCCAGAGCCCAUGCUCUUAACCACAUGCCCCAUGUACAGGACACUAAACAGCUCCAGGCAUCAGACCAAGCCCAGCUUUUAAAGACUAUUCCAGGGAGUAUGGCAGGCUUCCUGGGAGCGCCUACAGCUCGAGCUCCAAGCCUACUACUGAGACGGCACUGAGCAUUUUGAUGUAUUCCCACUGUAGCUCCACCUCUUCCAGCAUGGAUGAGAAAUAGGGAUAGUCUCUAAGCUCACACACCUCUUCAGCCUCUCAUUCCAAAUCAUCACCCCAAAGUACUGGCAGAAGUUGAAAUGGGAUACCUGCAGCACUCUGGCUCCACUCAGGUGUGGCUAUGAGGACAGUGUUGAGA